GCAAACUGGAGCCAAUGGGGAUUGAGGAAAGGAAGAACAUUCUAGAGAACUUCCAGAGAAGGUGAAUGGGGGCUGGAACAUAAACUCAGCAAAGCAAUGAAGGAACAAAUUUCAUACAUUAUUAUGUAGCUGUGCAGAUCUGUGUGACAGAAGCCUUCUCUCACCUUAGGCCCUGGAGGAGCUUCCAAGAUCAGGAAAUUAUCAUACGGGUUCCAAAAAAUGUUUUGUGAGAAAAGUGUCAUUACCAACCAAACCAAUAAGAAAUGAUGGAGAUUUUGACAGAGCCAGCCUUGUAUAUUGGUUCUUUAACCACGCAUUUGAAGCAGAAUGAUCAGCAAAGGAAAACAGACUUCCUCUGGGGAACACUGUGCACUGCUUCCAAGCCAGUUCACAAGACAUGUUGGGAAGCUCCUGAUAAAAGACCUGUUUAUUCAUCUAAGUCAUCACUGACAUCUUUCUUACAAAGCACGAGAACAAUCUGUGUGACACCUUACGCACACCUCAAGAUUCAAACAUUCAGAGUUCACAGCAUCUGAACUCCCCUGAAGAAUUGCUCCUGUGAAGCCCUAUAUCUUGCCAGCACUUCAAAAUGCUGGUUUCAUCAUGAAUUACCAGUAUCUGCUCAGAUGACGUGGAUUGUUUUUCCCCUUGGAGUGUGACAACAUCUUCAUUUGAAGCACAUCAACACCGAAUUAAAAGCAGAUUCUGCCAAUAGCUAUAUGAGCAUCCCCUCCAAAUGUGAUUAUAAAUGAUCUUUAAAUGCUGUCUUCACUAAUAGUAAUUAGCUUAUACAAGUGGAGGAAUUUGUGUUCCCUUCCUGCAUUCUCUCAGGAUCUUUCAAGGUCAAAAUAUGUCAAGGCUGUGCAUUAGAGAUACCCACAAAGCAAACAAGACACAAAAACGCUCAUUAGUGGGCCUCAAAAUCAAAUUAUGAGAAAAGAACCCUUUGAACCAGUUGAAGCCAGCACAUUGCCAGAGUGAUGCUGGUAAGAGGCACAAAAGAGCAGCUGUUCAGUGGUUCCACAGAGUUUUACCAGCACAUGUUUUGGGCUUUUUUCUCAUCAUUCUGCUUUCCUCCUCUGCAACAUGUGGAUACUCCUCUGCCUCAAAAAGCAGAAUUUGAAUUCUUCAUGAGCAGUCGGCCUGAUGUGAAUGUUGUUAUUCCUAGAAGCACAAACAGCAUGAAACUACAGCAGUUAAGAAAACCUGCAACAAACCAAACACAAAAAAUUUAUACAUGGUAGUAACACAAAAGUCCAGAGAGUUCACAGAGAAGUAACUAAUUGUUUAAAGUAUUUGAGCUCUUAUUUUGGAGGAAGACUUAAAAAAAAAAAUAAAAAAUUACACUUCAAUGGAGGGCACAUUAAGCUCAGUCAACUGUGUAUGUUUUAAUAUCUACUUUCUAGACACACAUUAUAAUAAUUUUCUGAAUUUUUACAGUUCUACCUGGAUGCAUCCUGACAUUCUCAAUAGUUCUGCAACAGUUCUUAGGAUUUUGUUUCUUCCCUUAAAUGCUGAUAACCUGAUACUCUCAUAGAUCUGGGUAUUGCAAAGCCAGGAUCUCUUUCUUGAAUACUGAUAUUUAGUUUACAUGUACAAUUUUAUCUAAAACCUUAAAGUUGUUUUCCCACCUUAGGUUCUUCUACAGAUCUCUGCAAUUACAUUUUCAUCAGUCUGAAAAUUAUUGAAAUAAAAUACUAGUCAUGUUUCCUUUAAAGUUCAUAAAAGUUAGAGUUCUGACCUUUAAGGCUGUCAUUUUGUCUGUGCCUCUACUUCUGGGGUCUCCUGUGUAUUGACUCAGCUGGGGCUGCCCCUGGAUCC